rnacentral:ncRNA from 1 species
AGAGAAUUGAGCUUCGGCUCUUUUUUCUUUGUCUUAAGCAAAGCCAUCUGGAGGCCUUGCGACUCUCGUCGAAGACUGUAUGAGACGGGGAGUUUGACUGGGGCGGUACAUCUGUCAAAUCGUAAAGCAGGUGUCCUAAGGCUAGCUCAGAGAGGACGGAAACCUCUCGUAGAGCAAAAGGGCAAAAGCUCGCUUGAUCUUGACUUUCAGUACGAGUACAGACCGUUAUGAUUUGACAGAUAUACCGCCCCAGUCAAACUCCCCGCCUGACACUGUCUUCGGCGAGAGUCGCAAGGUCACCA